CACAGCGCCCGUGUGCUGGAGGCGAGUUGGCUCCGGGUGGGGGAGGCUGGGGUUCCAAACCAGGGCAGGGGAAUGGUGGCCCUGCGUGGCUCGUGGACCUCUCUCAGGGACCCCUCUCAGCAGGGGCCGGAAAAGCAGGCCCACACCCAGUGGUCAUUGCAGGAACUUCACUUGAGCUGGUCUGCUUGUGAGCCUGUGGUUUGGAGAGGAGAAGACGCACUUCCCCAUGAGAAAAAGGUGGUCAUCCCCAUGGGCUCCACAGAUGAGGACACCGGCCCUCAGCUCUGCCCCCUCUCAGAAGCCUUCCUCACCUGGGGGUUCUGGGUGAAGGGAGCUCCCCGCCAGAGACUCAUGUGGGAUCGUGUGUGGACCGUAGAGCCACAGAGCGUCAUCUGUAAGCCAGGUGAAAUGCGCAACCUGCAGCCCCUCCCUCCUCAGACCUAUGAGUCACGAUCUGCGUUUUAGGGAGGCACAUGAACUUGUGAGAAGUGUGCUACCCCUACCCUCUGACCACUGCAUGAG
rnacentral:lncRNA from 1 species